UAUCUAAUCUCCUCUCUGGUUCGAAGGAUAGAGUACAGCAAUGACGACACACCUGCUUCACCUGCCGCUCAUACCACCGCCAUCACCGUCACCUUGGCGGCGUCACCACCACACAUCCGCCGCAACCACCACAAUUACUCCGCCGCGGACCGGGUGGGUCCAGCUACAGUCACAGUUAGGCAAGGCGGUUAUUGGUUCGACAAGGAGGAGCAUAAGGUGCAUGGCGAAUCCUCGGAGAGUGAAAAUGGUGGCGAAGCAAAUACAGAGGGAGCUUUCUGACAUGCUCCUCACCGAUAAAGUCUUGCAGUUCGCCGUUCUUCCUGAAGCUUCCUUAGGAGCUGACCGUUACCUCUCUUCCCUCACCACCAUCACCGACGUCCAAGUCUCCGCCGAUUUGCAGGUUGUUAAGGUGUAUGUAUCUGUUUUUGGAGAUGAAAGAGGGAAGGAAGUAGCCAUUGCUGGGUUGAAAUCAAAUGCUAAGUAUGUUCGAAGUGAGUUGGGGAAGCGUAUUAAGCUGCGAUUAACCCCUGAGGUUCGCUUUAUGGAGGACGAGUCUUUUGAAAGAGGAAGCAGGGUGAUUGCAAUAUUAGAUAAGAUAAAAAAUGAAAAGGGCUCUGAGGGUCAAACUAAGGAGCAGUUGGAUUCAUCAGCCCAAGAAGAUGACGACGACAGUUGGGGUGGUGAAGACCCUGAUGAAGGUAUAAUUUAUGUGGAGUAGCUGCCUCCCAGUGCUUCAGCAUUGUGCGUGCUAGAUAUGGAGAGAUCUCUCAGUUUUGGAAAACACUUCAUUGAAACACUUAUCUGGAAUUAUGCUGUUCUUGCUAGUAAGUGAUGAGAUUAUCUGUGCUUGAAGCUUGGCUUUGCAAUGUCAACAGAUUUGUUUGGUCUACACGGGACCAAUAUCUUGGCUCUCCCCUUAAGUGGUGUUAACACAGGAUGGUAGUAUCCAAGAGAACAAGAGUAUAUACUUCCUUUUCCUUGCUGUAAUUUAUUCCUGUAACGGAAUUCAUAAUGCUUAGCUUUUUGGAUCUCAGUAUCCCAGUUGAGCUCUUAUCACUUUUCAUUAGUAUGUUUAAAUCAGGUGUGUGAUACUGGCAUGUUGCAAAAAUGCCUUUGCACGUAUUUCUUUUCAUUCCAUUCCUCUAGUGCAAAAGAAUUUAAGUUGCUUGUAUACAUACUGGGUUGCAAUUGUAGAGAAAGCUAUAGUCAUGGAAAGUAUCUUAGUACAUGAUACAAGUUCAUUGGUAAUGAUUUUUGAA